GAGAGAGAGAAUAAUAAGAUCAUCUCCAACCGAUUUGAUCAGAAGGUUAAAAAUAAUCUGAAAUGACACGAAAAUCAUCUUCAACCAAGAACUAAGUUAAAAUGCUCGUAGGCCCCACCGGGCUAAAAAAAAAAAAAAGAAUCAGGCCGACUGGCUGGCCCAAAGGGCCAGCCAGCUAGCGCUGGGCCAUACGUAGAAUGGCUUGUAAGCGGAAGGCGAGGGCUGGAACCUCUUCAGGUUCUCCCCUGGAAUCGAGGAAGCUGAGGCAAACCGAGGGUUUUGGAAAAACCCCAAAACGUAAUCCUCCCCAUCUCUUCAGAUACACACAACAGAGUCCUAGUGUACGUUUUUCACACUCGAUUUCUUCACUCGCAGCGGCCGGUUGAUCGAAGAUAAGAUCUGUUCCCCAUUUUACCUCUGCUGGCUGUCUAUUUUCGAACCCCAGAAAGAUAAUUCAGUAACCCUUGAAAUUUGGAAAGAGGAACUUACACUUGUAUUGAAAUUUCUUUAUGAUCUUGUUUUGAAUACCGCUAUUUUGAUACCAUUUUCAAAUUGCAAAGAAAUUAUGAUCCCCAGAAGUGUUGGGUCAGCUUUUGGUGUCAAUGUGCUGGGUUUUUGUUCAUGUACAAAAGAAAUUUCACCAUCUAUUUUUCACUUUUUCUCCCUGUAAGCUGUAUUGAAUACGAUAAAGGUGGUAUAAAUUUUUACA